rnacentral:rRNA from 1 species
GAUGAACGCUAGCGGCAGGCCUAACACAUGCAAGUCGAGGGGUAGAGGCUUUCGGGCCUUGAGACCGGCGCAUGGGUGCGUAACGCGUAUGCAAUCUGCCUUGUACUGAGGGAUAGCCCAGAGAAAUUUGGAUUAACACCUCAUAGUAUUUUAGUGUGGCAUCACAUUAUUAUUAAAGGUUACGGUACAAGAUGAACAUGCGUCCCAUUAGCUAGUUGGUAUGGUAACGGCAUACCAAGGCUACGAUGGGUAGGGGUCCUGAGAGGGAGAUCCCCCACACUGGUACUGAGACCCGGACCAGACUCCUACGGGAGGCAGCAGUGAGGAAUAUUGGUCAAUAGUCGCAAGACUGAACCAGCCAUGCCGCGUGCAGGAUGAAGCAUCUAUGGUGUGUAAACUGCUUUUGUACGGGAAGAAACACCGCUACGUGUAGCGGCUUGACGGUACCGUAAGAAUAAGGAUCGGCUAACUCCGUGCCAGCAGCCGCCGUAAGAC